rnacentral:rRNA from 1 species
CCUACGGGUGGCAGCAGUGGGGGAUAUUGCACAAUGGGGGGAACCCUGAUGCAGCGACGCCGCGUGGGUGAAGAAGCGCCUCGGCGUGUAAAGCCCUGUCAGCAGGGAAGAAAAUGACGGUACCUGAAGAAAAAGCAUCGGCUAACUCCGUGCCAGCAGCCGCGGUAAUACGGGGGAUGCGAGCGUUAUCCGGAUUUAUUGGGUUUAAGGGGUGCGCAGGCGGCCUGUUAAGUCAGCGGUAAAAGCCCGGGGCUCAACCCCGGCGUGCCGUUGAAACUGGCGGGCUGGAGUUGGAGAGAAGUACGCGGAAUGCGUGGUGUAGCGGUGAAAUGCUUAGAUAUCGCGCAGAACCCCGAUUGCGAAGGCAGCGUACCGGCUCGCAACUGACGCUGAGGCACGAAAGCGUGGGUAUCGAACAGGAUUAGAUACCCGGGUAGUC